rnacentral:rRNA from 1 species
GAUGAACGCUGGCGGCGUGCCUAAUACAUGCAAGUCGAACGCUGAAGGAGUAGCUUGCUCUUCUGGAUGAGUUGCGAACGGGUGAGUAACGCGUAUGUAACCUGCCUUGUAGCUUGGGAUAACUAUUGGAAACGAUAGCUAAUACCGCAUGACAACAGUUAUUGCAUGAUAACUGUUUAAAAUUGGCAACUUCUCCACUACCAUAUGGACCUGCGUUGUGUUAGCUUGUUGGUGAGGUAACGGCUCACCAAGGCGACUAUACAUAUCCGACCUGAGAGGGGGGACGGCCAAACUGGGAAGGAGAAAAGGGCCAGAAUCCUACGGGAGGCAGCAGUAGGGAAACUUCGGAAAAAGAAGGAAGACUGACCGAGCAAAGCCGCGUGAGUGAAGAAGGGUUUCGGAUCGUAAAGCUCUGUUGUAAGAGAAGAAAGAGGGUGAGAGUGGAAAGUUCACACUGUGACGGUAUCUAAACAGAAAGGGACGGCUAACUACGUG